CUGCACUCCCUGAUUGCAGCUCCAUCCAGCUUGCAUUCAGAGUGGUCCUCCACCUGCUGGUGUUUUGUCCAUACUUUAUCUCCACUCUCCUCAUGGUGUCUUUGUAUCGAUGCAGAACCAAAGGAAAUUCCCAUUGUGCUUCUCAUAAUGAUGAGAAUAAUGAUGUCAUCACUGAUGUCACCACAGAGCAUCACCUCUGAAUCGCCUCUAUUGUGUCUCAGGGAUUUCUGCAAACAUUAUAUCAGUAAUAAAGAAAGCUGUGCAUUUA